rnacentral:lncRNA from 1 species
UGCUACAGAACGGUCAUGUACAUGACAGCAUCGAGUAACUACAGAUGAGAAACAGGUAAUGGCCUACACCCAAGUUGUCUUUUGUCGUUGGCUUGGCAUCUUCUUGAAGGAACAUCAGCGCACGACCAAGAGCCACCAACCCCAUCGGCCCCACGGCGAGAACAAGGUGGAACCAUCGCGUUUCGGGUGGGUUUUGAUGAGUUUCCCCUCUUUUUGACCAUGGUUUUCCAUGGAUUCUCCAUGGGGCUCCAUAGAUUUCCAUGGUUCUCCAUGGUUCUCCAUGGGUUUUCCCAUGGUUUCCCAUGGUUUUCCCCCAGUUUUCCAUGGUUUUUUCAUGGUUCCCCAUGGUUUUUUCCAUGGUUCUCCAUGGUUUCCCCAUGGUUUUCCCACAGUUUUCCAUGGUUUUUUCAUGGUUCCCCAUGGUUUUCCCAUGGUUCUCCAUGGUUUUUCCAUGGUUCCCCAUGGUUUUCCCCCAGUUUUCCAUGUUUUUUCAUGGUUCCCCAUAGUUUUUCCAUGGUUCCCCAUGGGGUUUUCCAUGGUUUUCCCUAGUUUUCCCUAGUUUUCUCUAUUUUUUCAUGGUUUUCCAUGGUUUUUCCAUGGUUUUCCAUCGUUUUCCAUGGUUCUCCAUGGGUUUCCAAUGGUUUCCAUAGUUUUCCAUGGAUUUCCAUGGUUAUCCAUGGUUUUCCAUGGUUUUUCCAUGGAUUUCUAUGGUUCUCCACAGUUUUCCAGAGUUUCCCAUGGAUUUCUAUGGUUUCGCAUGGAUUUUCCAUAGUUUCCCAUGGUUUUUCCAUGGAUUUUCCAUAGUUUUCCACAGUUUCCCAUGGUUUUUCCAUGGUUUUUCAUGGUUCCCCAUGGAUUUUCCACAGUUUUCCAUGGAUUUGGUGGCCGGUUCCUCCAAACCCACCCCCCUCCCUCCCCGCUCCCCAAAAACCAAGCUCCCUGCCCAAACCCCAUGGGAAAAUAACCUCUUCUCUUUCUUCUUUUAGUCUGCGAUAGCAAAAUAAAGUACGAAAUUUGGGGGGGGGGGGGGAGGAGGUGGGGGGGGAGGGGAGAGAGGAUUUGGAAGGCUUCCCCCCCCCCCCCCCAAAAACCCCCCCAAAACCCCACCCACCCCCAUUGUUUCGUUGAUUUUUUGUCGUCAAAAGGCUCGUUCUCCCGGAAGAGAAGAACGGAGCCGAACCAAGCCUCAAUCUCUUCCUUGGCCUCGGUUUUUUGGAGGUCUCUCCUCGGCUUCGGGGGGGUGGAGGGGGGCACAGUGGUUAAGUUCACAAUUGGAGCAUUCUAACCUUCUCCCGUGGGGGAAAAGAAAAUCCCGGGCUUGGGCGGGGGGGGGGGGGGGCCCAAAAAAAGAAAGGACAAGGCUCGGAGCGCCGGGAUUCCAAGCGCCGCCGCCUGCUUUCCCCCCCAACCUCCGACCCCUCUUCUCUCUCCAUCCCACCCCCAAAAAGCCCAGAGAAACAACUCUCUCUACUCUAGAUAUGAAUGAGAAGCAAGGUGAGGGGCAGCAUUUCAUCCAGAGACAGAGUUGGCACUACAGGUUUACAAGAAGGAACCCCCCCCCCCCCCACCCCACCCCAAAAAGAACACCGGGAAAAGGGGGAGAGGGGGGAGAAAGGGAGAGAAAUGACAUCCCCCCCCGCCCCCUGCCCCGCCGUUCCCUCCCUUUCCCCCCCCCCGCCCCCGAAUUCCCCUUAUUUACAGUAAAAUCUUGUUAGAAAGGAACAAAAAGCUUACCCAUAAGUCACUAAAUUUCUCAUAUAGCUUUAUAUAUAUAUUUAUAUAUAUAUAUAUUUGUCAUAGGUCUAUAAGAUCCAUCUGUUUCUCCUACCCU